UACAAACCUCAAGCUCUGCUUGGUAAUGAAAUCAUCAAUUGAUGAUCUCUAAAUAUUAUGGAUGGCUGUACAAAAUUUGCCAAUGCUACCAAAACUUUAUGUUCUGCUUGCGAAUUUGGAUAUGGCGCCCAUCAAUAACUAUUUUCUGGUUUAACCUC
rnacentral:misc_RNA from 1 species